CAGCAGCCGCGGGAAAACGAAGGGGGCUAGCGUUACUCGGAAUUACUGGGCGUAAAGGGCGCGUAGGCGGCACGAUUAGUCAGGCGUGAAGUUCCUGGGCUCAACCUGGGGACUGCGCUUGAUACGGUCGAGCUAGAGGAUGGAAGAGGGUUGUGGAAUUCCCAGUGUAGAGGUGAAAUUCGUAGAUAUUGGGAAGAACACCGGUGGCUAAGGCGGCAACCUGGUCCAUUACUGACGCUGAGGCGCGACAGCGUGGGGAGCAAACAGGAUUAGAUACCCCCGUAGUCCCUGUCUCUUAUAC
rnacentral:rRNA from 1 species